rnacentral:rRNA from 1 species
UACGAAGGGGGGCUAGCGUUGCUCGGAAUCACUGGGCGUAAAGGGCGCGUAGGCGGCCAUUCAAGUCGGGGGUGAAAGCCUGUGGCUCAACCACAGAAUUGCCUUCGAUACUGUUUGGCUUGAGUUUGGUAGAGGUUGGUGGAACUGCGAGUGUAGAGGUGAAAUUCGUAGAUAUUCGCAAGAACACCAGUGGCGAAGGCGGCUUUCUGGACCAAUACUGACGCUGAGACGGCGAAAGCGUGGGGAGCAAACAGGG